GACGAACCGUGCGAACGUUAUUCGGAAUCACUGGGCUUAAAGGGCGCGUAGGCGGUCUGCCAAGUCAGGGGUGAAAUCCUUCGGCUUAACCGGAGAAGUGCCUUUGAUACUGGCGGACUUGAGGGAGGUAGGGGCAUCGGGAACUGUGAGUGGAGCGGUGAAAUGCGUUGAUAUUCACAGGAACUCCGGUGGCGAAGGCGCGGUGCUGGACCUCAUCUGACGCUGAGGCGCGAAAGCCAGGGGAGCGAACGGG
rnacentral:rRNA from 1 species